GAUCGAGCAGCACGCCGCGUGAGUGAUGAAGGCCUUCGGGUUGUAAAGCUCUUUUGCCAGGGAAGAUAAUGACGGUACCAGGAGAAUAAGCUCCGGCUAAUUCCUUGCCAACAGCCGCGGUAAUACUACGGGGGCUAGCGUUGUUCGGAAUUACUG
rnacentral:rRNA from 1 species